UUACGCAGCCGGGGAGAUAGCGGUGCCCUGUAUCUGCAAUCCGCUUUAGCAGAGGUGAUAUCCUGCCUAGGGUAUUUCAUCGCAUAGCAGCCCUUUAAGUCAGGUGUUGAAGACGGGGUCCUGCGCAAUAGGAAUCUGUGAACCGUGUCAGGGUAGGAAUACAGCAGCACUAAGCAGAACCUCUUAUGUGCCGUAGGGGUGCCUUGUCCGAGCCGGGCGAGAAGGAAACGUGUGUCUUGAUUAUUCGAAGCAGGAUGCGUAU
rnacentral:SRP_RNA from 1 species